UACAGAGGGUGCGAGCGUUAAUCGGAAUUACUGGGCGUAAAGCGCACGUAGGCGGCUUGGUAUGUCGGGUGUGAAAUCCCCGGGCUCAACCUGGGAACUGCAUCCGAAACUGCCUUGCUCGAGUAUGGGAGAGGGAAGUGGAAUUUCCGGUGUAGCGGUGAAAUGCGUAGAUAUCGGAAGGAACAUCAGUGGCGAAGGCGACUUCCUGGACCAAUACUGACGCUCAGGUGCGAAAGCGUGGGGAGCAAACAGGA
rnacentral:rRNA from 1 species